UACGUAGGGAGCAAGCGUUGUCCGGAAUCAUUGGGCGUAAAGCGCGCGUAGGCGGCCAGAUAAGUCCGGUGUGAAAGUCACAGGCUCAACCUGUGAAUGCCGCUGGAAACUGUCUGGCUCGAGUCCGGGAGGGGCGAGUGGAAUUCCUGGUGUAGCGGUGAAAUGCGCAGAUAUCAGGAGGAACACCAAUGGCGAAGGCAGCUCGCUGGAACGGUACUGACGCUGAGGCGCGAAAGCGUGGGGAGCGAACAGG
rnacentral:rRNA from 1 species